GAUGAACGCUAGCUACAGGCUUAACACAUGCAAGUCGAGGGGCAGCAUGGUCUUAGCUUGCUAAGGCCGAUUGCGACCGGCGCACGGGUGAGUAACACGUAUCCAACCUGCCGUCUACUCUUGGACAGCCUUCUGAAAGGAAGAUUAAUACAAGAUGGCAUCAUGAGUCCGCAUGUUCACAUGAUUAAAGGUAUUCCUGUAGACGAUGGGGAUGCGUUCCAUUAGAUAGUAGGCGGGGUAACGGCCCACCUAGUCUUCGAUGGAUAGGGGUUCUGAGAGGAAGGUCCCCCACAUGGGAACUGAGACACGGACCAAACUCGUACGGGAGGCAGCAGUGAGGAAUAUUGGUCAAUGGGCGCAGGCCUGAACCAGCCAAGUAGAGUGAAGGAUGACUGCCCUAUGGGUUGUAAACUUCUUUUAUAAAGGAAUAAAGUCGGGUAUGUAUACCCGUUUGCAUGUACUUUAUGAAUAAGGAUCGGCUAACUCCGUG
rnacentral:rRNA from 1 species